UUUGAUGACAUUGACAGUACAUAGGUACCACAACAAAAUCUAUAAAAAAUCAUCGUACAAAUUAUAAAUAUCAAACAAAUAAUUAUUUUAAGACACAAUUAACAGUGAAAUAUCAUUCGGUUUUAGUAAUAAAGAAAUAUUACAACUUUAAACGCUAAAAUAUAACAUGGCAGACGACUUCAUUCCAUUAAAUCAAAGUACCCCUGUACAAGGAAGAUGGCAAAAUAAAAACCAAAAUAAUCAAAAUGGGUACCAAAACAAUCGGCAACAGAGGAACCAACGGUGGCGUGGGCAACACAAUCGCUGGCCAAACAAUUCUCAUCAUAGCAAUAGCUUUGGGAGUGACUCCAACAGUAGUUAUGGUUGUGAGAGUAGGAGCAACAUAGACGCGUACCUUCACCCUGCAAUGUUGAAAGACCCCUGGGAACAUUUAAGACACAGAAAACAUUGACAGUCGUUCAAGUUUUUUUAAAUGUGGAAUGUCAAUAAAAUAACCAUUGUACAGUUAUCAGCUAUUUAUUCUAAAAAACAAAAAUUACAUCCAUGAGUAUGGUGAGAGAGAAAGGUUCUAUAGAUGGUAAAAGCACACAUUUAGUAAAGAGAAUUUAUGUUUAUUGAUACAGGAGGACUAGAAAAACUUGUUUAUUUGUUACAAUUUAAUCUACUAAAAAGGAAUUACAAUUAAUUACAGUCA